rnacentral:lncRNA from 1 species
UUGGGGCGUAGGGUACUGGGCGGGUGGUCAAUUUCACUAGGAAACUCGGCUCUCCUUAAGGAGUUGUUAUUUGAGCAAGGACCUGAGGAUUAAGAAGGAUCCAUCUAUGCAGCGGAGCUAGGGAGGGAAGAGAACUUCCAGCAGACGCAACCUCCAGUGUCAAGGCCCAGAUGUGGGAAGGCUCUGGCGUACUCACCAACCAGGGAGGGGCAGCAGAGGAAGAGCCUCCUGGGCAAGGGGCAAGCGAUGUGGGAUGAGGUGGAGAGAGAUGAGGCCAGACAGUGCAGGAGCUAGUGCGCAUGGCAAAGAUUCUGGAGAUUAUGCUAAGAGAAAUGAGAAAUCCUGGGAGAGUUCAAAGCAGUGGAUCAUCUAUGUUUGAAAAAGGUUGGCACAAAUUGCAUGUGGAAGAUAAAUCGAUUAGGGUAACAGUAGAAGCAGGAAAGGUGUUGCCAUAGGGUCGAUGAUGCUUAUUUAUAUGUGUCAACUUGCCUGGGCUAAGAGAUGCCCAGAGAACUGGAAUAACAAUCUUUCCGGGCAUAUCUGUGAGGAUGUUUCCCGAAGAGAUUAGUAUUUGAAUCAGGAGACUGGUAAAGAAGAUCCAGCCUCACUAAUGUGCGUGGUCAUCAUGUAACCCACGGAGGGCCCAAAUGGAAAAAAAAAUGGCAGAGGAAGGGAGGUCUUAGAAAAAAGAACAUCUAAUUCAGCUAGCUCCCGACACCCCCACUAUCUGAAGUGGAAGAACCCACGGCAUGGCAGUUGUCUUCACGGCCACACUGUAAAGGGGCAGGGCAAGACAAACAUCAGACAUUGGACCAUUAUCGUUCACAUUUCAUCGUUUGGAAGAUAAGACUCAUCAGGCUUUCAAACAACAGAUCCUUUUACUUUCCACUAUACUAUUCUAACUUCCUGAGAGCACAAAAUAUUAUUGGUAAUCUAUUAUAAAUUGAAAAAAGCAAUAUGAUUGAUGAAUUGUUGUUAUAAUUACAGAAGUGAUAACAAUAGCCAUGAUUAUUUAGCACUUUGCUUCAGAUGAUGCCCUGAGCAGCCUCUUGGACAUCCACAGACGUGAACAUCCCUAUGGUAGAUGUUAUCACGCCAAUUCACAGAGAAGCAAACGGAGGUCAGAAGCGUUAUCUGAUUUCUCUAAAAUCAUGUAGCCUGUAAAUGGCAGAACCAAGAUUUGAACCAGGUUAACUUCACCCCAAACCAAGUGUUUUUAACCAUCUUCUACACUUCCUUCAUGAAAGAUAAUGCAUGUGUUUGACAAGAUCCCAGUGCAUUGGUAAUACAGAAGUAUAAACAGACAUCAGUGUAAAGACCACCCCAAGCCAAGUUUCAACUAGUAUAGGAUAAAACUUUGAAAGAACAAAGAAAAGUUUAUAUGACAAACGGCUUUCUAAGAGCUGUAUGUGUGUAUGUGUAUAUGUUUGAGGGAUUGGAUUCUCAAAUAUAUAUAUAUAUAUAUAUAUAUAUACAUAUAAUAUACCUAUAUUUUCAUUUAUACAUGAGUGCAUAUACAUACAUAGAAAAUACAUAUUUUAAAAACUAAAAUUAUACGGCCAAAAGGAAUAACAUAUUAUUAAGCUCUUUCACAAAAUCCUAAAAAGUUCUAACAGUUAUUAAGUAGAAUUUAGUUCCUAAGUUUGGUGCAGGAGACAGAAUUGCUACCAGUGUUAUAGGCAACUAUUCAUCAAGAUCUAAUUGUUAGAAUUGCUUCAUUUCAAGGAAAAUGAUUUAGCCCCC